rnacentral:misc_RNA from 1 species
AACUUUUAACAAUGGAUCUCUUGGCUCUCGCAUCGAUGAAGAACGCAGCGAAAUGCGAUAAGUAAUGUGAAUUGCAGAAUUCAGUGAAUCAGCGAAUCUUUGAACGCAUCUUGCGCUCCUUGGUAUUCCGAGGAGCAUGCCUGUUUGAGAGUGAUUUAAACUCUCAAACCACAUCAUUUGUUUGACGUGGCUUUGGAUGUGGGGGUUGCUGGCUUUCUUCUCAGAGAGGCCUGCUCCUCUGAAAUGCAUUAGUGGUAUCUGGAGUGGAAAACCGCUAGGUGUGAUAAUACUGUCUAUGCCUUUGGUUUAUGCCGCAUGUGCUGCUUCCAACCUGCACAUUUUUUGUGCUUUUGACAAACUUGACCUCAAAUCAGGUAGGACUACCCGCUGAACUUAAGCAUACAAUAAGCGGAGGCU